GAUGAACGCUGGCGGCGUGCCUAAUACAUGCAAGUCGAGCGAACGGACGAGAAGCUUGCUUCUCUGAUGUUAGCGGCGGACGGGUGAGUAACACGUGGAUAACCUACCUAUAAGACUGGGAUAACUUCGGGAAACCGGAGCUAAUACCGGAUAAUAUUUUGAACCGCAUGGUUCAAAAGUGAAAGACGGUCUUGCUGUCACUUAUAGAUGGAUCCGCGCUGCAUUAGCUAGUUGGUAAGGUAACGGCUUACCAAGGCAUCGAUGCAUAGCCGACCUGAGAGGGUGAUCGGCCACACUGGAACUGAGACACGGUCCAGACUCCUACGGGAGGCAGCAGUAGGGAAUCUUCCGCAAUGGGCGAAAGCCUGACGGAGCAACGCCGCGUGAGUGAUGAAGGUCUUCGGAUCGUAAAACUCUGUUAUUAGGGAAGAACAUAUGUGUAAGUAACUGUGCACAUCUUGACGGUACCUAAUCAGAAAGCCACGGCUAACUACGUGCCAGCAGCCGCGGUAAUACGUAGGUGGCAAGCGUUAUCCGGAAUUAUUGGGCGUAAAGCGCGCGUAGGCGGUUUUUUAAGUCUGAUGUGAAAGCCCACGGCUCAACCGUGGAGGGUCAUUGGAAACUGGAAAACUUGAGUGCAGAAGAGGAAAGUGGAAUUCCAUGUGUAGCGGUGAAAUGCGCAGAGAUAUGGAGGAACACCAGUGGCGAAGGCGACUUUCUGGUCUGUAACUGACGCUGAUGUGCGAAAGCGUGGGGAUCAAACAGGAUUAGAUACCCUGGUAGUCCACGCCGUAAACGAUGAGUGCUAAGUGUUAGGGGGUUUCCGCCCCUUAGUGCUGCAGCUAACGCAUUAAGCACUCCGCCUGGGGAGUACGACCGCAAGGUUGAAACUCAAAGGAAUUGACGGGGACCCGCACAAGCGGUGGAGCAUGUGGUUUAAUUCGAAGCAACGCGAAGAACCUUACCAAAUCUUGACAUCCUUUGACAACUCUAGAGAUAGAGCCUUCCCCUUCGGGGGACAAAGUGACAGGUGGUGCAUGGUUGUCGUCAGCUCGUGUCGUGAGAUGUUGGGUUAAGUCCCGCAACGAGCGCAACCCUUAAGCUUAGUUGCCAUCAUUAAGUUGGGCACUCUAAGUUGACUGCCGGUGACAAACCGGAGGAAGGUGGGGAUGACGUCAAAUCAUCAUGCCCCUUAUGAUUUGGGCUACACACGUGCUACAAUGGACAAUACAAAGGGCAGCGAAACCGCGAGGUCAAGCAAAUCCCAUAAAGUUGUUCUCAGUUCGGAUUGUAGUCUGCAACUCGACUACAUGAAGCUGGAAUCGCUAGUAAUCGUAGAUCAGCAUGCUACGGUGAAUACGUUCCCGGGUCU
rnacentral:rRNA from 1 species